CUUUUUUAUAUGCAUGGGAAACAACCCUUCGGCGAGAGCCAGCGUAGCGAAGCGUCGCCGCUGCUUCUUGGUCGGCGGUCACAAGCAAGGCAGUAGCUGGAUAAACUAGCAAAGCACUCUAUGGUACGGAUAGCGAGGUAGAAGCGAAUUAGCUGACUCUCGUUCGCGCAACAAACAGCAAGACCUGGGGAACGAUGUGAUAUAGUCGCAGGUGCCAAGUAAAGCAGAGAAGCCAAGUAGAGUAGUAGAGCGAAUGCUCUACUCGAAACCCAAUAGAAAAGCACUCGAUUUUUCCGUAAUGUAAGCGAUGCUCUACACUUGUGUGCUAGCAUGGCGUGUAGAGGAAGAGUUAAAGAAUAGACGCAGCAACGCACACUUUGAUGUUUCACUGCUGGAUUUUUAUCAAGCCCUGUGCCGGAAGUACCAUGCAAGAUACCUCGUAUUGGAUAACAUAUUAAUCUCAGGUGCAUACCGUCAAGACAAUAGAAACAAAAAACAGCACUCCAGGGUGCAACUAUCUCUGUGAUUUUUCAUUUUCAAGUAGGGACUUGUGUAUGAUGAGUACAGAGAAUUAGCUUUGAAUGUGAGGAUCCAGAUGGCCCGACUGUUGGACCCUGAGUUCCUCUGCUUGGUUGUCUGUUUCUCAUGACUGGAGUCAUAUUCACUAUCCUAGGUAAUAUAAUGUCUCUGUUUCUUCGAUUUGACUUAUUCAGUCCUGGGAUGUGGUUCAUUUGUACAGAGACUUUACAUCCCUUAAAUCAUAA
rnacentral:lncRNA from 1 species